UAGAGUGGCAAACGGGUGAGUAACACGUGGGUGACCUACCUUCGAGUGGGGGAUAACCUUCCGAAAGGAGGGCUAAUACCGCAUGACAUCCCAUGUUUGGAUACAUGGACAUCAAAGCCGGGGAUCGCAAGACCUGGCGCUUGAAGAGGGACCUGCGCCCGAUUAGCUAGUUGGUGAGGUAACGGCUCACCAAGGCUUCGAUCGGUAUCCGGCCUGAGAGGGCGGACGGACACACUGGAACUGAGACACGGUCCAGACUCCUACGGGAGGCAGCAGUGGGGAAUUGUUCGCAAUGGGCGCAAGCCUGACGACGCAACGCCGCGUGGAGGAUGAAGACUUUCGGGUCGUAAACUCCUUUCGACCGAGAUGAAUAGCCCGGGAUCUAAUAGUUCCCGGGCCUGACAGUAUCGAGGGAAGAAGCCCCGGCUAACUCCGUGCCAGCAGCCGCGGUAAUACGGGGGGGGGCAAGCGUUGUUUNGGAAUUACUGGGCGUAAAGGGUCUGUANGUGGCUUGCUAAGUCAG
rnacentral:rRNA from 1 species